rnacentral:rRNA from 1 species
CUUUCACGGCAGAGGGCCCCCCCGGGCGAGAGCUGGUCGGUCCGAAACCGUUUACACAAAACCCAACGUAAAAAGAAUGACUGCGGACUCUGAGCCGCCUAAAAUUUGUAACAACUUUCAACAACGGAUCUCUUGGCUCUCGCAUCGAUGAAGAACGCAGCGAAAUGCGAUAAGUAAUGUGAAUUGCAGAAUUCAGUGAAUCAUCGAAUCUUUGAACGCACCUUGCGCUCCUUGGUAUUCCGAGGAGCAUGCCUGUUUGAGUGUCUUGAAGUCAUCAACCCGAACCGUUUCUUGCGAGCGGUGCGCGGUUGGAUAUGGGGCGUGCUGCCGAGAGGCUGCUCCCCUCAAAUGCGUCGGUCGGACCUGUGGUCGGACUCGAUUGGGCGUUGUACCAUCCUCGCUCUCCCGAGACGUCCCCUACCGUGUCCCUCCCUGACCUGCCUGUGGAGCGGCGGUCUGAAUGCAAACUUUGAAAUCUGACCUCAAAUCAGGUAGGACUACCCGCUGAACUUAAGCAUAUCAAUAAGCGGAGGAAAAGAAACUAACAAGGAUUCCCCUAGUAACUGCGAGUGAAGCGGGAAAAGCUCAAAUUUGAAAUCUGGCGUCUCCGGCGUCCGAGUUGUAUUCUGGAGAAGCGUCUUCCGUGC